rnacentral:misc_RNA from 1 species
CGCUCACAUACAACCCGAGGGCCAAGUCUACUUUGCCUGCGAUUCAAAACCGGGGAUCGUGACGGAUGCACAAAUGUACUCUGAAACCGCCCGCGAGCAGGUUUUGCGCUGCUCGAUUACCAUCUUCAAGGCUCUCGAAUCCAAGAACGUCGUCCUCCCUGAAUCCGCUGAGCUCUACCUCAUGCCUCUUGACUACGACGAUAUCUGCCUGUACUACCUCGUCGACCAUGCUUCUCGUGCUCUCUUCUGGAUCGACGACCUUGAGGUGUCCGACCUUGGACUUCCGGAGGUGAUCUCCGAGUCCCACCUCGGAUUCGUGUUGCAGGAGCAG